rnacentral:lncRNA from 1 species
AGCAUGAAGCUGCUGCCGGGGGCUGUGGUGGUGGUGCAUGUGGAGAUGCGAACGUUUCAACACACAUAAAAGGAGAGUGAGUCUGAUACAUUCGUUAUGAAGGCAGCCAGCCCAUAUUCAUUCAACCUCUCAAAUAAGGAAAGCUGAACUGACAGUUUCCUGUUUCCUGAGUAUAUCGAUCAGUAUCAUAUAACCACUCUAAGUAGAGUCUUUACCAGAUUUAUACGAAGAGGCAAAAUCAUUAUAGGGAGGAACUGUGUACCUGUCAUCCCUCUUCCCCUGAUGAAACCACAUCUCAUAUCUACAGUACAUUAUCAAAAUCAGAAAAUUGGUAAAUAACCUUUGAAAAGACAUUACGAUCACAAAGAUAAUUUAAAAGUU